AGUGAACGCUGGCGGUAGGCCUAACACAUGCAAGUCGAACGGCAGCACAGUAAGAGCUUGCUCUUACGGGUGGCGAGUGGCGGACGGGUGAGGAAUACAUCGGAAUCUACUUUUUCGUGGGGGAUAACGUAGGGAAACUUACGCUAAUACCGCAUACGACCUACGGUUAAAACCGGGGAUUCUCGGACCUUGUGCGAUUGAAUUAGCCGAUGUCGGAUUAGCUAGUUGGCGGGGUAAAGGCCCACCAAGGCGACGAUCCGUAGCUGGUCUGAGAGGAUGAUCAGCCACACUGGAACUGAGACACGGUCCAGACUCCUACGGGAGGCAGCAGUGGGGAAUAUUGGACAAUGGGCGCAAGCCUGAUCCAGCCAUACCGCGUGGGUGAAGAAGGCCUUCGGGUUGUAAAGCCCUUUUGUUGGGAAAGAAAAGCAGCAGGUUAAUACCCCGCUGUUCUGACGGUACCCAAAGAAUAAGCACCGGCUAACUUCGUG
rnacentral:rRNA from 1 species